rnacentral:rRNA from 1 species
GACGAACGCUGGCGGCGUGCCUAAUACAUGCAAGUAGAACGCUGAAGAGAGAAGCUUGCUCUUCUUGGAUGAGUUGCGCACGGGUGAGUAACGCGUAGGUAACCUGCCUUGUAGCGGGGGAUAACUAUUGGAAACGAUAGCUAAUACCGCAUAACAAUGGAUGACACAUGUCAUUUAUUUGAAAGGGGCAAUUGCUCCACUACAAGAUGGACCUGCGUUGUAUUAGCUAGUAGGUGAGGUAAUGGCUCACCUAGGCGACGAUACAUAGCCGACCUGAGAGGGUGAUCGGCCACACUGGGACUGAGACACGGCCCAGACUCCUACGGGAGGCAGCAGUAGGGAAUCUUCGGCAAUGGGGGCAACCCUGACCGAGCAACGCCGCGUGAGUGAAGAAGGUUUUCGGAUCGUAAAGCUCUGUUGUAAGUCAAGAACGGGUGUGAGAGUGGAAAGUUCACACUGUGACGGUAGCUUACCAGAAAGGGACGGCUAACUACGUG